rnacentral:rRNA from 1 species
GAUCCUGGCUCAGAUUGAACGCUGGCGGCAGGCCUAACACAUGCAAGUCGAACGGUAACAGGAAACAGCUUGCUGUUUCGCUGACGAGUGGCGGACGGGUGGGUAAUGUCUGGGAAACUGCCUGAUGGAGGGGGAUAACUACUGGAAACGGUAGCUAAUACCGCAUAACGUCGCAAGACCAAAGAGGGGGACCUUCGGGCCUCUUGCCAUCGGAUGUGCCCAGAUGGGAUUAGCUAGUAGGUGGGUAACGG